rnacentral:rRNA from 1 species
AGAGUUUGAUCAUGGCUCAGGGUGAACGCUGGCGGCAGGCCUAAUACAUGCAAGUCGAACGGCAGCACAGCAGAGCUUGCUCUGUGGGUGGCGAGUGGCGGACGGGUGAGGAAUACGUGGGAAUCUGCCCAGUCGUGGGGGAUAACGUAGGGAAACUUACGCUAAUACCGCAUGCGCCCUUCGGGGAAAGCCGGGGACCUUCGGGCCUGGCGCGAUUGGAUGAGCCCACGUCGGAUUAGCUAGUUGGCGGGUAAAGGCCCACCAAGGCGACGAUCCGUAGCUGGUCUGAGAGGAUGAUCAGCCACACUGGAACUGAGACACGGUCCAGACUCCUACGGGAGGCAGCAGUAGGGAAUAUUGGACAAUGGGCGCAAGCCUGAUCCAGCCAUGCCGCGUGAGUGAAGAAGGCCCUCGGGUUGUAAAGCUCUUUUGUCCGGAAAGAAAAGCGCCGGGUUAAUACCCUGGUGUCCUGACGGUACCGGAAGAAUAAGCACCGGCUAACUUCGUG